UAGAUAAAGCUGACUCCAAGACCA
rnacentral:siRNA from 1 species